rnacentral:rRNA from 1 species
ACUGAAUAGAUACCCAGGUAGUCCACGCCCUAAACGAUGUCAACUAGUUGUCGGGGAUUAAUUUCCUUGGUAAACGCAGCUAAACGCGUGAAGUUGACCGCCUGGGGAGUACGGCCGCAAGGUUAAAACUCAAAGGAAUUGACGGGGACCCGCACAAGCGGUGGAUGAUGUGGAUUAAUUCGAUGCAACGCGAAAAACCUUACCUACGCUUGACAUGCCAGGAAGCCCGCAGAGAUGUGGGUGUGCCCGAAAGGGAACCUGGACACAGGUGCUGCAUGGCUGUCGUCAGCUCGUGUCGUGAGAUGUUGGGUUAAGUCCCGCAACGAGCGCAACCCUUAUCCCUAGUUGCUACGAAAGGGCACUCUAGGGAGACUGCCGGUGACAAACCGGAGGAAGGUGGGGAUGACGUCAAGUCCUCAUGGCCCUUAUGCGUAGGGCUUCACACGUCAUACAAUGGUCGGUACAGAGGGCUGCCAACCCGGCGAGGGGGUAGCCAAUCCCAGAAAGCCGAUCGUAGUCCGGAUUGCACUCUGCAACUCGAGUGC